CGGCAGCCGGGCUUCUGCCUGGUGGCGAGUGGCGAACGGGUGAGUAAUGCAUCGGAACGUGCCCAUGUCGUGGGGGAUAACGUAUCGAAAGCUACGCUAAUACCGCAUACGCCCUGAGGGGGAAAGCGGGGGAUUCUUCGGAACCUCGCGCGAUUGGAGCGGCCGAUGUCAGAUUAUCUAGUAGGAGAGGUAAAGGCUCCCCUAGGCGACUAUCCAUAGCGGGUCAGAGAGGAUGAUCCCCCACUCUGGGACUGAGACGCGCCCCACACCCCUACGGGAGGCAACGGUGGGGAAUUUUGGACAGGGGGGGAAACCCUGAUCCCCCCCUGCCGCGUGAGUGAAAAGGGCCUUCGUUUUGAAAAGCUUUUUCCGCCGGAAAAAAAUCGGGCACUCUAACAUACUCGGUGGAAGACGGUCCCAGACUAAGAAGC
rnacentral:rRNA from 1 species